rnacentral:rRNA from 1 species
AAUCAACGCUGGCGGCGUGCCUAACACAUGCAAGUCGAACGCGAAAGUGGAGCAAUCCAUGAGUAGAGUGGCAAACGGGUGAGUAACACGUGGGUGACCUGCCUUCGAGUGGGGGAUAACGUCCCGAAAGGGACGCUAAUACCGCAUAAUAUGCUGUCUUUUAAGAGAGAGACAUCAAAGCCGGGGACCGCAAGGCCUGGCGCUUGAAGAGGGGCCCGCGCCUGAUUAGCUAGUUGGUGGGGUAAUGGCUCACCAAGGCAACGAUCAGUAUCCGGCCUGAGAGGGCGGACGGACACACUGGGACUGAGACACGGCCCAGACUCCUACGGGAGGCAGCAGUGGGGAAUUGUUCGCAAUGGGCGCAAGCCUGACGACGCAACGCCGCGUGGAGGAUGAAGAUCUUCGGGUCGUAAACUCCUUUCGAUCGAGACGAAUGGCCCUUGGGAUAAUACCCUGUGUGGAUGACGGUACCGGAAUAAGAAGCACCGGCUAACUACGU